GAUGAACGCUGGCGGCGUGCCUAAUACAUGCAAGUCGAGCGAACAGACGAGGAGCUUGCUCCUCUGACGUUAGCGGCGGACGGGUGAGUAACACGUGGAUAACCUACCUAUAAGGCUGGGAUAACUUCGGGAAACCGGAGCUAAUACCGGAUAAUAUAUUGAACCGCAUGGUUCAAUAGUGAAAGACGGUUUUGCUGUCACUUAUAGAUGGAUCCGCGCCGCAUUAGCUAGUUGGUAAGGUAACGGCUUACCAAGGCGACGAUGCGUAGCCGACCUGAGAGGGUGAUCGGCCACACUGGAACUGAGACACGGUCCAGACUCCUACGGGAGGCAGCAGUAGGGAAUCUUCCGCAAUGGGCGAAAGCUUGACGGAGCAACGCCGCGUGAGUGAUGAAGGUCUUCGGAUCGUAAAACUCUGUUAUUAGGGAAGAACAAAUGUGUAAGUAACUAUGCACGUCUUGACGGUACCUAAUCAGAAAGCCACGGCUAACUACGUG
rnacentral:rRNA from 1 species